UACGUAGGGGGCAAGCGUUGUCCGGAUUCAUUGGGCGUAAAGAGCUUGUAGGCGGUUUGUCGCGUCUGCUGUGAAAUCUCAAGGCUCAACCUUGAGCUUGCAGUGGGUACGGGCAGACUAGAGUGUGGUAGGGGAGACUGGAAUUCCUGGUGUAGCGGUGAAAUGCGCAGAUAUCAGGAGGAACGCCGAUGGCGAAGGCAGGUCUCUGGGCCACUACUGACGCUGAGAAGCGAAAGCAUGGGGAGCGAACAGG
rnacentral:rRNA from 1 species